rnacentral:rRNA from 1 species
GAUAUGGCUCAGGAUGAACGCUAGCUACAGGCUUAACACAUGCAAGUCGAGGGGCAUCAGGAAGAAAGCUUGCUUUCUUUGCUGGCGACCGGCGCGCGGGUGAGUAACACGUAUCCAACCUGCCCUUUACUCGGGGAUAGCCUUUCGAAAGAAAGAUUAAUACCCGAUGGCAUAAUGAUUCCGCAUGGUUUCAUUAUUAAAGGAUUCCGGUAAAGGAUGGGGAUGCGUUCCAUUAGGUUGUUGGUGAGG